AUGUCUCUAGAGUGGGCCUCGGGAAAGCAGACACUUCGCAACUACCGGCCUGCCAAGACCACCCGGGAACAGAAGAAAAGUAAACCACCCACUGUUCUGAUCUGCCCUGGAGGAGGGGGCUUUGAAACUGGAGAAAAAAAGAAAGAGGUACCUACUGGAAUGAGUGUUCUAAUACCGACACUGAAUGCCAAGAUAGGAAUACGACCCAGGUGGCCUUAAAGAACCCACUUCCCAGGGAGAAAGGUGGGCACGGGUUUAAUUUCACCCAUCCGGGGCACAGGCAUUAGAUAAAAAGUAUCUUAUGUUUGCACCCCCAUCACACUGAGACUCCUCAGUAUACACGUAGCACCAAGAAGAAUAUAAUGGCCACUGGGAUUUACAUGCACCAACGAUUUUCAAAAGACCUUUUUGAGAAAAAAUAACACAUGACGACAAUAACAAAUAACAACACCGAUUUCCUUCUCACACCACAAUUAGGAAAUGUUACUGUCUUUAAUGUUGGUUAAACCAAUUUUAUCGAAGGUACUGUAGAGCCAAUAUCACUUCGUUUACCGAUGUGACGACUCUCAUGGGAAAAGAUGCAUCUACCUGUUUAGAUCUUCUUUACAAGCUAUGGCGGAGAAUAUUCUUUAAGCCUUUUCUUUUCAAAAACCCAUAGCUCCAUGACAUGACGGAACUCUGAAUUGAAUCGUGUUAGCUAUCAUCAGCCUCUUGAGAUGUCUGGGAAUCGUAUAUUACAUCAGAUCAAUGUCACUUUCAGCUCACUGCAACUCCAGAACAGGGAAGGUGACAAAAUUGUAGAGUAUAAAAUUCUGAAAGAAGGCAUGCCUUUUUGAGAGACUGCUAAGUUGAGACUACGUGAUGCCAAAUAUUUAGAUGAAAACAGAUUAAUUCCCUGAGAUAUCUAUUUGCAUACAGGCAUCUGGAUGUUUGACAGGAUGUAGACAAAACAUGUGAAUGACUGUCUAAAUUCAACACCCUUUAUCCAAACAUUGGGCACCGCUUGGAAACAGCCAAAGACCUGUAGUAUUAAGACACAAAGCAAGCUAAUGUCCCCUUCGAGGCUUGCACCCAACACAAAUGUGACAUCUGGUCUCUUGAACAGUCACUCAACAUUCAGCCACUUUUAACCCACGACUGACUUUUAAAAUUGAUCUGAACUGCCUGUAGCUUAGAACGGAGUUCCAGAAGUGUGAAAAGAAAUACAUUUUAGAUGUUC
rnacentral:lncRNA from 1 species